UACCAGCACCCCGAGUGGUCGGGACGAUUAUUGGGCCUAAAGCAUCCGUAGCCGGUUCUACAAGUCUUCCGUUAAAUCCACCCGCUCAACGGUUGGGCCGCGGGGGAUACUACAAGGCUAGGAGGCGGAAGAGGCAAGCGGUACUCAGUGGGUAGGGGUAAAAUCCUCUGAUCCAUUGAAGACCACCAGUGGCGAAGGCGGCUUGCCAAUACGCGCUCGACGGUGAGGGAUGAAAGCUGGGGGAGCAAACCGG
rnacentral:rRNA from 1 species